GCUAGUGGGGGAGAGACCACGCACGCCGCGCCCUGCUUGGCCGGCGACUCGGCGAGCCCGUCCGCACGCCCCUCGAUCUAGCACAGCUAGCGCACCGCGCCGGCAGCGGCGCCAUACCGUAAUUAUUGCGCUGCGCCUGCACACGGAAGCCCUAGCCGGCCGGCCAGCCACACGGAAUGUUCCAGCGUGCGUCGACCCUGCGCGCCCCGGUCGACGCUGCCACCGCGGGCCCAGCAGCCGGUUCACCGCGCGCCUAUAUAGCUGGCCGCCCCCUUCCUAGCCCCGCGCUCCAAUUCUCCCAUCUCAGCACCAUCCCAUACCAUCCACCUCGCCUAUAUGUGCUGCGUGCGGUGAUCGCGGCGGCGGUAGUUGAGGGCGCGCGCGGUAACGUAGCGAGCGAGGCGUGCCUUGAUCGGUGGGCGUCGUCGUCGGGCGGUGACAGAAGAGAGUGAGCACACGGCCGGGCGGAACGGCACCAGCGGAUGUGCCGUCGCGGCCGCGUGCUCACUGCUCUAUCUGUCACCCACCUUCCCCCCUCCGGCCGCCUUGCCGAUCGAUGCCGUCCUCGCGAACACACAGCUGCGCGCCGUGAUCACCGCACCGGCCGGCAAUGCACCGCCGCCGCCGCUACACUACCGUGAUCACCAUGGUUGCAGUAUAUCAUUGUAUGCCGUCGAAUUGAUGCCCAUACGUGCCGUCGAAUUGAUGCGGAUACGUGGUUUUUGUGUUCGUCACUGGUAGUCCGGUACUCUUUUUCUGUUUGUUUUGAGAAAAAAGGAGAGAGAAACUGGUCCUUCUGCAAAAAAUUCUAUUUUUGGGCGGUUCGUACGUACGGCCGUGCAGCUGGAUAUGAACUUUUGGGCGCGCGUGUGUACCUUCUCGCACGGAUUCCCUCCCUUUCGCUUCGUACGAAUACUGCUGUGAUUGUUCAUCUUUUCCAAGGGAUCCAACCGUUAUCCGCCUGCUUGCUUCUUGGGAAGCACUCCAUUCCUGGUGGAUCUCCAGACUCCGUACUCCGAAGUCAAGAUUGAAUUUGUUCAUGGCAGAAGCAAGCGAGCAGAUGAGGCAAGCUAGCACACCAAUCUCUCAGCCUCAGAUCUGCUUGUUACUUCGUCCAUGUCAUGUCAGGUCAGUACUCCAGUUAGCAAGAGCUAGUAUAGCUAGCUGCAGAUCCUGUGCAUGCUGUCCUUUUGUUCUUCAUCUUCACACGUGCUGCUGUUUUGCUGUAGUUAGUCGUAGCAGUAUCAAAAAAAAUUUCCUUUGAAGACACUUGCAGUUACCUCUUCAGUCUGUACCGACCGACUCAGUAGAGAUCCAGAUCGAUACGAGACCUUUUAUGCGCUGAUCUCGUCAUACAUCAAAGAUACAACUCAAUGUGUUCAGCCGUGAAGAAUUAGCGUCAAUCAAUUUGAUUGUUCAUCAGGUGUGAAAUUUGCAACUGCUAAAACCAGAGCCCGCGGUCAAGUGUGUUUGCCUGCUGCAUCUUGCGUGAGAUUUGCCGGAGCUUGGGGAGCACAAUCCUAUUUGGCUGGACUGGAGGGGCCGACUGGGGGUUUUGCAAAUGUGAGUGGGGUCCUAAUGGGCUGGGCUGGGUUGGCCGGUUGGGUAUGUCAGGGGCCUUGGGCCUCAGAUAUCCGUCGCUUAGCCGAUUUCGAUGCCGAUUCCGGCAGAAAUCGCUGUGCCGUUUCCGACGCCAAUUUCAGCGUCGGCGAUAUUCAAAGAUUAUCCGAAUCGGCACUCUCCAUUUCAGAUUCAAACUUGAAUCGGCCGGAAUUAUCCGAGCUGUUUUCACCUCUACAGGCCGGUCCAGACCCGCAACCAUCUUGCGCCUUGCCUUGCACCAGCUAGCCGCUGAAACGGCCUCGAUUCGGACUCAGGGAAACAUCCUCGCACGCAUGCACGGAGCAAGUAGAUUUGGUUCCAAAUUAAGGUAGGAAACAGUUGUGAAACCCUAAUCGAGGGAAUGUGUGCUUGAUACCGAACUUGCCAUUGAAAAACUUUCUAUAUAAAGUACCCCUUUACUCAACGGAUAAAUAAUAGUAAAAAGAAUGCUCCCACCUA